GAUGAACGCUGGCGGCGUGCCUAACACAUGCAAGUCGAACGGAGUCCAGCCUUUAAGACCUUCGGGUCAAAGAGGGGAAGACUGAGUGGCGGACGGGUGAGUAACACGUGGGCAACCUGGCUCAUAGAGGGGGAUAACAGAGAGAAAUUUCUGCUAAUACCGCAUAAGCACACACUGCCGCAUGGCAGAGGGUGAAAAGAGAAUCGCUAUGAGAUGGACCCGCGUCUGAUUAGCCAGUUGGCAGGGUAGGAGCCUACCAAAGCGACGAUCAGUAGCCGAUCUGAGAGGAUGAACGGCCACAUUGGGACUGAGACACGGCCCAAACUCCUACGGGAGGCAGCAGUGGGGGAUAUUGCACAAUGGGGGGAACCCUGAUGCAGCGACGCCGCGUGAGUGAAGAAGUAUUUCGGUAUGUAAAGCUCUAUCAGCAGGGAAGAUAAUGACAGUACCUGAAUAAGAAGCCCCGGCUAACUACGUG
rnacentral:rRNA from 1 species